GACGAACGCUGGCGGCGUGGAUUAGGCAUGCAAGUCGGACGGUAGGGGCUUUAUCGUAAGAUAGAGUUUGAGAGUGGCGAACGGGUGAGUAACACGUAGGAAUCUACCCUUAAGACGGGGACAACCCAGGGAAACUUGGGCUAAUACCGGAUGAGAGUGCGAGAGAUUGCAUUUAAAAGGAUGGCGAAAGUUGUCGCUUAGGGAUGAGCCUGCGGUCUAUUAGUUAGUUGGUGAGGUAAGAGCUCACCAAGGCGAUGAUAGAUAGGCGGCCUUAACGGGUGGUCGCCCCACACUGGGAUUGAGAUACGGCCCAGACUCCUACGGGAGGGCAGCAGUCGAGAAUAGUCUUACAAUGGCCGGAAGGCUGAUAGUGCGACGCCGCGUGAACGAGGGAGCCCUUUCGGGGUGUAAAGUUCGUUUUCUAUACGAGCAGUGCUAUAUAUAUGGUAUAGUAUAUUAUAGAGGGAUAGGUAGUAUAGGAAUUAAGACAACGGCUAACGUCCGUGCCAGC
rnacentral:rRNA from 1 species